UUUAUUGCUGUGAGACAAAGAAUGGACUUCAAAUUCCUGCAGCAUCGUUGGUGCCAUGACUUGGAUUGCCUCAGAUCCAUUGGAAAGGUUCAUGCAAUGGGAGAACAAAUAGAAGACCAGGAUACAUUCUGGAGUCAGAGGAGAGAAUUGAGUGUCAGAGAAAUUGACUGGACUGCCUGAGGUGUUGGAUGAUGAAAAAAAGCUUGAAGAUGCUGAUGAUAUAGGAAAUAACCUCAUUGAAAUUACUCAUGGUCAGAUGAGUAUAAAAGAGAUCAGCAUGCAGAGCAUCAGGAUGUGGGAAAGUUCACUUGAAUCAUUUGACUUGGACCAUUUUCUGCCUUUGUUACUUUGCCCAUCAUUUAGCCAUCUAUCCCUUUACAUCCUAAGUGGGAAUAUUGAAGACACACUGAAUGAUCAUGCCUCAAGAUAUUGGGAAAAAAAAUGUUCAGAGACAUGAAUGGCAUGCUUUCAAUGAACACAUCAGGACAUUGAGAUGUAAACUACCUAUACUUACUAUAGGAUUCCCAUUGUAUACUUUAGAUUUGAAGCAGAACAGUAUGUUAUAUUGUAGAAAGUCAAAAUUGUGUGAUAUUUACAUGGAGUUUUCUUCUGGGAAUUAAGUCAUUAAUGUGAAUGUUUGACACUAGUCACUCACAUAUCAUGGGAGUGAAUUUGAAGUCUGAAGGCAAGGAGGUUUAGAAGAAAAAGCUCAGCUAAAUAUCAAGAGGGAGGAGCUCACAAAAGUUACUGCUCUUGAUGACAUAAAUCAGAGAACCAAAAAGAUUACUUCGCUUUCAAGUUUUUAAAAUAUAUGUAUUCUAGUAGAAAAUACGUAAAGUACAAUUAACCAACCAUUUUAACAAAAAGCAAUUUUAAACAUUCACAAUAUUGUACAACCAUAACUUCUUGAACAUCUCAUCUUUCUCUUAAUAAUUUGAGAUAUAAAUGAAGUGGAGGAAGAUAAGCAGAGAACCUGAACUGCAGUGUAUGGAAACUGGAAGAAGCUUUUGAUACUUAUUUGUGCAUCUUGGAGACUGGAAGAGCAUCAUUAACUUCAUUGUAGAGAGCUGGCAAGGAACCAUCUGGAGCUGCUAGAGAAGGAGAGGCAGCUGUCAGAAAGCAGAGGAUCUGAAACUGGUGAAGGAGAAAUGUUGAAACCAAGUGGAUUCAUAGACUGAACACCCAGUGCUCCAGGAGGAAAACUCAAGAACUGCAGGGACAUCAGGAGCAACAGCGGUCCAUUGUCAGAGACCAGAUCCUGUUGCAUUUAAUUUGCUUGUUAGAUCUGUUUCCUCCAGACUUAACAAAGUUACAAAGGGGAGGAAAAAGGCCUCUAUUGUUAAAGGGCCUUCAAACACAUAAAGCAAACACCUAAAACAAGAGACUAUUGCUUCAUCCACCUCCACUACCGUCAAGAUGGAUGAGAUAGCUCCCUGGAUCCACCACAGCAGAGAGAAGCUGGGGUCUGAAACUGAAUGCAACUCAAAUAAAGCAACAGCCUACAAACUGCGCAUGUGAAACAAGCGAGUCAGCCAUGAAGAGAUCACCAGAGACGGUGACUACAGAGGAACUCCAGAGGACGACAGCUUUGCCUCCGAUACCCCGGAUGCUGACUGAUUUACACAUGGCCAAAGCUUGAGGAAUCUGCCACAUGAUACAAUAAAUGGGCUGAUCCUUUCUUUUUUGCCUCAUUAUAUUUUAAAAUUUUAUCUAAGCAAUUGUUGAAUACAAAUAGAUAAUGAGGACAAGAUCAUAAAAAAUUACUGAUCAAAUAAAAAAGGUCACUCAUAAUCUGAUUGAGACCUAGAAAGUUUAAAACUCUAAAGACUUGUUUGAAGGAUUUUUUUAAACUUUUAGUGGAUACAAAUCUCUAAUAGGUGCUGUGAUUAUAGUGUCGGGGGCUUGUCUGACUUUUCCUUGUCUUGUGCCCUUGUUUAUGAAACUGUCUCUAGCUUCAUAAAGACUCUGGUCAAAAACAAACAAAACAAAGCAGCUACACAUGUCAUAAUUCUGUAAAAACCUAAGUCCUCAGAUAAGGAUGAUGCUGUCUGACCCAAAAGGGUUCUGAGUUUCAAAGGAGGAAUGCAGCAGAGGCCUUUGUCUUUUGCUUAAGCUUGUUUCUGAGAGGAUUAAAGUCAUGGUAGAAGCCUUCUCAAGGUCAGAAGAAGAAAAGGGGAGACAUCUGUCCUGGGAUUGAAAUGUAGUUGUUAUCUGCUUACCUAUGAAGGCUUCAACUGCAGUCCUCAUCUGCUUAUAUGUAACCAUCUCUGCUCCUUAGUACAGAGCAAUGAUGUUAACCCUUGCCAGACAGCUUACAGCUCAGUACGUGUAUAAAACAAAAAUUUCAGUUAAUUACCUGGCAUGCAUGUGCAGUAUUGCAUGAAUCUGGUGGGUUCCAUGUAACAUUAGAAUAUCCAAUCAAAUGGAUGCAGAUAAUCUUAUAAGGGAGGCAAAGAGGCUAAAACCAUUCAUAAGGGAAAACCCUUCUUUGUUCAGGGAUCAGGAUUUUGAAUAAGAAAUUCCACCUGGGCCUUAUGCUGGUGUAUUGAAAGACUACUUCCUGUAAGAGGCCUUGGUGUCUCAGUAUAGGAAUCCUCCUACCACACCUCUGUCUGCAUUCAGCCUCCUAAGGAUACCCUCUGACAGCUGUAUAUCAGAUAAGGGGAUUAUUCCCCAUGUCCCUGUUGUCACAACCCCUGUUACUCAUUUUUCAGGGGAACUCCUCAGUUCCUCCACUUUGUCACCUGUGAAGUGAGGAUCCUAUUGAUUUCUGAGGACAGUGUGAGGAAGAGGAAACUAAGUUCAUGGGAAAAGGAUCCUGCAAGUGCACAUCUAGGGCACUCACUCUUCUCACUACUCACAUGAAAAUGUCUUUGGAUAAGGUCAUCAAAAUCUAUCCACUGAUGUACAGUCAAUAAAUCUUGGUGUAAUAGCACAUGCUGAGAAACUUGCAGUCUCUACUUUGAAAGAUAAGGCAAAAUUCCCCUCUUUACAGAAGACAAAAAGGAGAUGGGACAUAAUAAUGGCUCAUGAAAACAACUCUAGGACUCUUUUGUUUCCAGAAGAACAAUUUUGAAAGUGGAAUAGAAAUGUCAGCCAUCCAAAAUAUGCUGUGGCUGUUUUACACCUUGAGUCCAGGUCAAAUCUUCAUUUUCUGUGUAUGAUUUUCCCAAUCCAUGCUGCCUGUCUAUUUUACCUUAGAAUUUCUGCUAACAAAUUUUGAGUUCCUCUCCUUAUGUCAGUGCUUUCUUUGUGCAAGUCCACAUGAUCCUCCUGGGUGUGUACAAUGUGAUUCUCAUUCACAGGCAGAACCUGGUGCUGCAGAUAGAAGCAUGAGUGCCCUUUCUGGUGGUACUGACCAUGAGAGAUAUGAAGGAGCCUUAUGGGCAUGGGAAAAGCUAAUAUCUAAUUAUGGUGGUCAUUGUACUAAUUUAUUCUUUAAUGGUCACUGAACACCUGGAGUCUCACACAGAUGCCUUUGGUCAGACAGGUUUCUUUCCUCACAAGGUGGCUGAUAGGGAUUGUGCCUAUUAAGAAAACAUGAGCUAAAAGCACCCAUAUUAUGGACAGAGAAAUACAGAAUAAAACUACAGCAAAACAUAUCUUUUACCCUUAAGUAAACAAAAUAAUUUGAAAAUACUGUUGGCAUACCUCAGAAUCAUAGACUCUCCUAUGCAUUGCUACUGAGCAUGUAUAUGUAAUUUGUCCAACCCUUCUGAGAAGUAAUUCAUUAAAACAACAUUGACAUAGCAAUGCUGCAAAACAAGGUGAAUAUUGGCAACAUUUGGGCAAAGGAAGAAGAGAAUGUCCUUGUGGAUAAGGCACCACUAGAAUGGCACAUUGAGUAAAGAAUUGCCUUAAUUUUCAGUGCCAGAACUCAAAGCCUUGUUUAUAUUUUAAAAAUUUUGUUGAUUCUAUUGUUUGAAAAAAGAGGAGAGAGAAAGAAUAUUUUCCACUUAGCUGGAUCACUCCCCAAAUGCCUGCAAUAUCCAGAGAAUAUCCAGAGCAGGCCAAGCUGAAGCUACAAGCCUGGAACUCAACUUGAGUCUCCCAUACACGUAACAGUGACUCAAGAACUUGCUCCAUCAUUGCUGCCCCUCAAAGUGUGCAUUGGAAGGAAGAUGGAAUCAGAAACAGAGCUGGGAGGAGACCAGGCUCUCCAAGAAUACAGGAUAUGGAAUUCCCAAUGUGUCCUGACUGCAGCAGCAAACACCUGCACACUACAUAGGUUCCUGUAGGCUGUGAUACCUGCUCAGAUUCUCGUGUAUUUUUUAUUUUUUAUAGCCUUGGGAAGUUGAAGGAAGUUGAUCAGGUACUUUGGCGAAAUAUCUGUCUUCUAUAUUAGGAACAGGGUGAAGUUUUUUUUUUUUUUUAAGAAUUGGACAAGGUUGUGCAUUUUUAGAAGUUAAGGCUUCAGAUAAAUUGCCUUUCUCAACCCUUGAUAUCAUGAGAAUGAGGGUACUUCAAAAUUUGUGGAAAAUGAAUUUAGUACAUGUUUAUUUCAGUAUAAAAAUGUUUGAAAUCCACAAUAUGAGAGGUCUUCAAAAAGUGUACAAAAAUGCAUAUUUUGAAAAUACUGCAUUUAAAACCAAAAAUUAAUGUAUCUGUUAAUUCCAUGAAUUUUGUAAAGUGUCCUCAAGAUGAUGCUAGGGUGAAUAUCUCUAUCUUUCUGCAUGUGUGUGUCUCAAAAAUUAAUUUAAUCUAAUUUAACUAAUUUAGUCUCCCAUCUGUCCUAAAUGCUUGCAACAGCUGAGACUAUCCUAGGCUGAAUUCUGGAAUCCACAACUGAAUCUGAGUGUCUCAAAUGGGUGACAAAGGCCCAACCUCUUGAAUCAUAUUCUGCUGCUUCUCAGGAUUCAUUAGCAGGAAGGUGGACCUGAAAGAAAUUAGUAGGAUCUAGACUGGUGCUCCAAUAUGAGAUGUAGGCAUCCCAAGCUAUGGCUUACCCUGUUGAGAUUCAAUGUGUGCCCCUCAAAUAGAAAUGAAUUUCAAAAAUAAAAAUGAUAUGGUGCCUAAAUCUAUGAUGCAGCUUUCUCUUAGGAAUUACACUAAAUGAUAUUUCCAGGAAUUUACAGAGAAGACCAAUAUCAACUAAUAUAUAAACAUUUUGAAGGAUUUUGUCUUAAAAUCACCUCUACAUCAAAAUAUUUGCAACAUUUAUAUUAAUAACUUUCAUGUUCGAUCCAUUCCUAAUAUUCCCCUUUUACUGGAGCUGCUUAUCAGGACAUUUGGGCAGCAAAAGUACAUACUGAUCAAAUGUAAUUAUGCACCCGUAGUGCUGUGAUAGUAGUAAUAGAAUUUUGAUGAAUCUGACAGAAUGUAAAUCAGUUGGUUUUACAGCUCAAAAGUAUAAAAAUACCUAUCAAAACAUUUAUAUGGAAAAAUAAAGUCUUAAAGUUUUGGAAGUAAAUAGAUACAGAUGUUAGUUGUUUUUGGGAAAAUUGUCAUGAUACCCUUAAGAAAAAAUAUCUAUUAUGCACAUAUUGUUUUCCUUUGUGAGCUCCUUACUUACAUCUUCUGGGCUGGGUGUUUCGCACCCAACACAAAUGCUGUAUAAACAAGCAUGGUAGUUAAACUUUUGAGAAUGAAUGAAGAUCUGGAAAAGCUUCCAUCAAUAUGCAAUAACACAACAAUCAGAAUCUCCAAGGAGUAAUGAGAUUUAUUUGGGAACAGCAGAGCAGUGCAAAGGAGAUAUCUAUGCUCUAACAAACGGUGAGUGUAUUCAAGGAGACUGAAUCAAGGCAAAGGUUUAAAGGUAAACAGGAAGAAAUUUAAAGGUGCAUUAGUGGAGGAGCCCUUGCUGGUAAACAUUCUGUCCAGGACAUGUCGUCUGAAUUGUUGCGGUCUUGUAGAAUGUCAAAGGUAAGUGUUGCAGAACUCUGUGCAGAUGUGUGAGGCCUGCAAAGCACAGGGUGCAGAGUGAAAAGAUUUUGAGUUGCCUUCUGUUCUUAAAUGUAUGCACUAUAGAUGGGAUAUAACAGCUAGUGAGAUUAUAGUAUUGCUACUUUCUCCAGAAAUAUUUUAUUACUAUCAAAUAUUUACUAUGAAGUUGUAAAGGACUGCUUUUAGUUUGUUUAUUUUUUACUUUUAUUUCUUCAAAACUAUUUCAAAUUCAAAUUUAUACCAUAAAAUAUACUAUAUUUGAAGACAAACACAGAAUCCUUGAAGAAUUCAUGUAUUUGGUUCUUAAAACAUAAAAAAGAAUAAUUUUGCAUUAGAUGCUUUAAUGGAAAGUGUUAACUGCAUUGAAGUAACAAGCUGGAAGCAGUCACCAGCUAAAGACUCAAUGCUCUACUCCCUAUGUUCUCAUAGACACAGCCCUUCCACAAUUAUGACACACAUUUCAAUCCAGGAUUAUCUUCCAGAUAUCGGUAUCUUGUUAUUUGUUCACACAAUGGAAAUUAUCAGUGUUUUCACCUUUGUUUAUUUUUCCAUAAAUAAUUUUAAUACAAAAUGCUACUAAGCCACUGCCCUGGCCCAAACUGAGAUUUAAUGCCUGAGUCAUUUCAUAAAUGCAGAAAUAGCUAAAUAUGAGUCUCAGGUGAGAGGCAGGGCUGAUUUAUAAUGUAUAUGGCAAUGAUUUGUAUUCUGUUCAUAAGUGACAUUCCCGAGCAGCUGUUGAAAGUUGGCACUCUCACAGGGCUGGCAUUGUGGCACUGCCUGAAAUACUGGUGCAAGUCCUGGCUGCUCCAUUUCCAAUCCAGCUCCCUGCUAAUGAGCAGGAACUGUUCCUUUGAGAGAAACAGGUAGUAGAUAUCAGUCUGCUCAUCCAGCUACAACUGGCAAAUUUCUGGCUUCUGUACUUCUGCUUGCUUUCUUGAUAACUUCAAAGGCCACCAAAAUGCAGUUUCUGCCUUUAAAACCCCCCAUCACUGAAAAUCUUCUCUGGACUUGCUCUGUGAAAAGGCAGUCACCAGCUGGCUAAUAAAGACUUCUAAUUUGACCUCAAAAGUCUCACUGUGGUUUUUUUUAAUUAUUUAUUUAUUUAUUUAUUUGACAGGCAGAGUGGACAGUGAGAGAGGCAGAGAGAAAGGUCU